AACGCACAUUGCGCUCGAAGCCUUCGGGCUUAGAGCAUGUCUGCCUCAGCGUCGGGUUAAUAUCACUCCCCCUUAUGACGGACAAAGAUAAUUCGCUCUCUAUUUGUGUAUAUAUAUUUUUAUAAUAUAUAUAACCCUAGAGUUAAGCUAAUAUGUUAAAUCACACCGUUUUAUCUUUUCCGUCUUAAGACCGAGUGGAUCUGGCUGUUCCAGGCCUAGUCUGGAUCAGCUGAAGCACAGAGGUUAGCAAAGGACACACUGUGUGCCGCAACUGGGUGGGCUGUAAAAAGCUAUAUCUUAGUUGUUGGCCUUGUACUUUGAUCGACCCUCAAACAGGAAAAACCCACUUAUUUUCUCGACCUGAGCUCAGGCAAGAACACCCGCUGAACUUAA
rnacentral:misc_RNA from 1 species